rnacentral:misc_RNA from 1 species
GAUGAAGAACGCAGCGAAAUGCGAUAAGUAAUGUGAAUUGCAGAAUUCAGUGAAUCAUCGAAUCUUUGAACGCACAUUGCGCCCUCUGGUAUUCCGGGGGGCAUGCCUGUUCGAGCGUCAUUAUAACCACUCAAGCUCUCGCUUGGUAUUGGGGUUCGCGGUUCCGCGGCCCCUAAAAUCAGUGGCGGUGCCUGUCGGCUCUACGCGUAGUAAUACUCCUCGCGAUUGAGUCCGGUAGGUCUACUUGCCAGCAACCCCCAAUUUUUACAGGUUGACCUCGGAUCAGGUAGGGAUACCCGCUGAACUUAAGCAUAUUCAAUAAGCGGAGGA